CAGGGCGAGCCGCAAGCAGUGGCCUACAUGUUUAUGCCUUUAUCACCUACAUUAGGCUAUGGAAGCAUUGAUGUACUUCUUCAUAAAACUAUGAACAAUUUAGGGGGGCCCUUGUUUUCAGAUGUCAUGGCAAGGAGGGGCCAAGGUCUGGUGCUACUGCCAGGACGUCAUAUUAGAUUAUAGAAUUUCAGUGAGAUCAUGUAGUGUGAUGUGAGAAAUGCCUUCUUCAUGGACAAGAGGUAGUGAUGUAUUGGUCUCAAUAUUUUUUGAAACUUGAGUCAAUUCCUCUUGCAAGUUAAGAAUGAGGACAUUAUUGCUCAUUAUGAAGGAUAGGAAAGUUAACUGAUAAAUGGUAGGUUUUCUUAUCAUGUUAUAUUAAACAUGUUAAUUUAUGCCACUUAAAUCUUGUAAUUCAUGCCCUCUAUGGAUCCUGGCUACCUUGACCCGUCAAA